CAGUCGCCGCGGUAAUACGAAGGGGGCUAGCGUUGUUCGGAAUUACUGGGCGUAAAGCGCACGUAGGCGGACAUUUAAGUCAGGGGUGAAAUCCCGGGGCUCAACCCCGGAACUGCCUUUGAUACUGGGUGUCUAGAGUAUGGAAGAGGUGAGUGGAAUUCCGAGUGUAUAGGUGAAAUUCGUAGAUAUUCGGAGGAACACCAGUGGCGAAGGCGGCUCACUGGUCCAUUACUGACGCUGAGGUGCGAAAGCGUGGGGAGCAAACAGGAUUAGAUACCCGCGUAGUCCCUGUCUCUUAUAC
rnacentral:rRNA from 1 species